GAUGAAGAACGUAGUGAAAUGCGAUAAGUAGUGUGAAUUGCAGAAUUCAGUGAAUCAUCGAAUCUUUGAACGCACAUUGCGCCCCUUGGUAUUCCAUGGGGCAUGCCUGUUCGAGCGUCAUUUGUACCUUCAAGCUUUGCUUGGUGUUGGGUGUUUGUCUCGCCUCUGCGUGUAGACUCGCCUUAAAACAAUUGGCAGCCGGCGUAUUGAUUUCGGAGCGCAGUACAUCUCGCGCUUUGCACUCAUAACGACGACGUCCAAAAGUACAUUUUUACACUCUUGACCUCGGAUCAGGUAGGGAUACCCGCUGAACUUAAGCAUAUCAAUAGCGGAGGA
rnacentral:misc_RNA from 1 species